rnacentral:rRNA from 1 species
GAUGAACGCUGGCGGCGUGCCUAAUACAUGCAAGUCGAGCGAACAGACGAGGAGCUUGCUCCUCUGACGUUAGCGGCGGACGGGUGAGUAACACGCGGAUAACCUACCUAUAAGACUGGGAUAACUUCGGGAAACCGGAGCUAAUACCGGAUAAUAUAUUGAACCGCAUGGUUCAAUAGUGAAAGACGGUUUUGCUGUCACUUAUAGAUGGAUCCGCGCCGCAUUAGCUAGUUGGUAAGGUAACGGCUUACCAAGGCAACGAUGCGUAGCCGACCUGAGAGGGUGAUCGGCCACACUGGAACUGAGACACGGUCCAGACUCCUACGGGAGGCAGCAGUAGGGAAUCUUCCGCAAUGGGCGAAAGCCUGACGGAGCAACGCCGCGUGAGUGAUGAAGGUCUUCGGAUCGUAAAACUCUGUUAUUAGGGAAGAACAAAUGUGUAAGUAACUAUGCACGUCUUGACGGUACCCAAUCAGAAAGCCACGGCUAACUACGUG